rnacentral:misc_RNA from 1 species
GAUGAAGAACGUAGCGAAAUGCGAUAAGUAAUGUGAAUUGCAGAAUUCAGUGAAUCAUCGAAUCUUUGAACGCACAUUGCGCCCCUUGGUAUUCCGAGGGGCAUGCCUGUCCGAGCGUCAUUACAACCCUCAAGCUCAGCUUGGUGUUGGGCCCCGCCGCCCCGGCGGGCCCUAAAGUCAGUGGCGGUGCCGUCCGGCUCCGAGCGUAGUAAUUCUUCUCGCUCUGGAGGUCCGGUCGUGUGCUCGCCAGCAACCCCCAAUUUUUUUCAGGUUGACCUCGGAUCAGGUAGGGAUACCCGCUGAACUUAAGCAUAUCAAUAAGCGGAGGA